rnacentral:rRNA from 1 species
CGUAGGGUGCGAGCGUUAAUCGGAAUUGCUGGGCGUAAAGCGUGCGCAGGCGGUUUUGUAAGCCAGAUGUGAAAUCCCCGGGCUUAACCUGGGAAUGGCAUUUGGGACUGCAAGGCUGGAGUGCGGCAGAGGAGACUGGAAUUCCUGGUGUAGCAGUGAAAUGCGUAGAUAUCAGGAGGAACACCGAUGGCGAAGGCAGGUCUCUGGGCUGACACUGACGCUCAUGCACGAAAGCGUGGGGAGCAAACAGGAUUAGGUACCCUGGUAGUCCACGCCCUAAACGAUGUCGACUGGUUGUUGGGGGUUUGACACUCUCAGUAACGAAGCUAACGCGUGAAGUCGACCGCCUGGGGAGUACGGCCGCAAGGUUA